rnacentral:rRNA from 1 species
CCUACGGGAGGCAGCAGUGAGGAAUAUUGGUCAAUGGCCGAAAGGCUGAACCAGCCAUGCCGCGUGCGGGAAGACGGCCCUAUGGGUUGUAAACCGCUUUUGUGUGGGAGCAAUAAGUUCUACGUGUAGGAUGAUGAGAGUACCAUACGAAUAAGCAUCGGCUAACUCCGUGCCAGCAGCCGCGGUAAU